UUUUUACAAGUUACCCGUGAGGGAAAGUUGCAAAGAACUUUGAAGAGAGAGUUCAAGAGAACGUGAAAUCCUAGUGGUUGAAGCGGAGAGAGUUGACGUAGCUCGGCGGCUAAGCUUACUGUUGCUUCUUCGGAGGCUUCGGUUUGUGGUGUCCGCUUAUAGCUGCGCCGGCAGCGUUGUUCGAGCUUUCCGACCUGGUUAGUGUUGCCCACUUCGGUGGUGUCUUGCUGCCGGUGAGGUCUGCCGUAUUAACGUUUAACUUGCCUUACGGCAAGUGCCGGUGUGAAGGUCAGCCACCUUUCCGACCCGUCUUGAAACACGGACCGAGGAGUGUAACUUGUACGCGAGUCAGAGGGUGGAAAACCCUACGGCGCAAUGAAAGUAAAGGUCGGUUAACCGGCUGACAUGAGAUCCGUCCUUGUGGCGGCGCAUCAUGGCCCUGUCUUGAGAGCUUGCUCUUGGGCAGAGGUAGAGCGUACAGGUUGCGACCCGAAAGAUGGUGAACUAUACUUGAGCAGGACGAAGCCAGAGGAAACUCUGGUGGAAGUCCGUAUCGGUUCUGACGUGCAAAUCGAUCGAUAGACUUGAGUAUAGGGGCGAAAGACUAAUCGAACCAUCUAGUAGCUGGUUCCUUCCAAAA
rnacentral:rRNA from 1 species